rnacentral:lncRNA from 1 species
AUUUUGUUUAAAUUCUUUUGAUUGCAGUAGAAAUCAAAUUUAUUUUGCUGGAAGGCGACUCACCCAGUAACGCACAUUAUAUCAGUCUGCUUCCAAGGGAAGGCGAAGCAGCCGAUAUAUAUCCAAGCUGGAGAGUUCUGGAACAGGUAGGGGUUUUGUCCCAGAAGAAGUGGCUUCAAAGAGGAAAAGAAAAAUUGGUUCUACAAAUGUACUUUCUGCCAAAGAUGGUGGAAGAGUGGUCAGAAGUUCUCACUGAGCAGACACAUGCUGUGGGAUAGGAAUGGCAAGUUUGCAUCCUCCAGCCAGAUCCUUACUUCAGGUUGCUUGAGAUAAGUUAGCACGAGGGAAAAUGGACCAUAAACAGCUUACAGGAGGCUGAUGAGGCACAGGGAAAUGAUCUUCAACACAGAUGGCCCUCCUGCUCCAGGAUCUCCAAGGAAAAGAGCUGCAUGUGCGCGUUCAUCCCCUAGAAGAGGAGGGGAUGCAGCCUGCUAAGGGGAAUGGAAACAAGUGUUUUGCCUGUUUUGGAAAAGCGGUGAUAUUGAAGAUUGAUUGUUUCAGCCCAUAAGAAGAAGGAAGGUAUGUUGUUUCAGACCAUGCGUCCUCAGUGAAUGAUACUGUGGACUGAACGGUUGCUGUGGUAUGGAGAGGUCUAGAGAAAGGCUGCGGUCUGAAGUCAGGAAGAGGAAAUUAAGCCAAGGAUCUUAAUUUUGGUCACUGAUGCCCUUUUCAAAUUUUGGACAUUAGGAAGUGUAAGUGUAUGUGCAGUAACAAUUGAAAGCGCUGCAAACAUAGAAAAUGCAUUCU